GGCAGUGUAGCAUAGUGGUUAAUGCGCAGGACUUGUAACUAAAAGGUUGCUGGUUCAGUCCCCACUGGGGCACUGCUG